UACGUAGGGCGCAAGCGUUGUCCGGAAUUAUUGGGCGUAAAGAGCUCGUAGGCGGCUUGUCACGUCGGGUGUGAAAACCCGUGGCUCAACCAUGUGGUCUGCAGUCGAUACGGGCAGGCUAGAAUUCGGUAGGGGAGACUGGAAUUCCUGGUGUAGCGGUGAAAUGCGCAGAUAUCGGGAGGAACACCAGUUGCGAAGGCGGCUCUCUGGACCAGCACUGACACUGAGGCACGAAAGCGUGGGGAGCAAACAGG
rnacentral:rRNA from 1 species